UACGUAGGGUGCAAACGUUGCUCGGAAUUACUGGGCGUAAAGCGCGUGUAGGCGGUUUCGCAAGUCAGGUGUGAAAGCCCAGGGCUCAACCCUGGAAGUGCACAUGAUACUACGGAGCUUGAGUACUGAAGAGGAGAGCGGAAUUCCCGGUGUAGAGGUGAAAUUCGUAGAUAUCGGGAGGAACACCAGUGGCGAAGGCGGCUCUCUGGGCAGAUACUGACGCUGAGACGCGAAAGCGUGGGUAGCAAACAGG
rnacentral:rRNA from 1 species